AUUCUUAAGUUCCCAAUGUGCAGCUGUAUCCCAUUCUUUUUCUCUCUCACUGGCUUAUCUCCUUCAGUUUCCCAUCAAGACGACUCAAAUCCACAAGUUUCAGCGAUUAAAGCUAAUAAUUUUGUUUAAACUACCCCGUGAAUGUAUUAAGUCCUUAUGGAGUUUGCAAAAAGAAAAAGAAAAAAGAUCAAUUUAUUGCAUUCAAAUAGUACUCAUCAACUGGUUACAAUUGGUCAAGAAGAGCAUCUGGUUAAGGAUGAAGCGUGUUCUGGAGUAUUCACUAGUUGUCUUUUGAUUUCCUUUAGGACUUUCUUUUGAAGACUACUAUGCAGAUGCAGUGUUGGAUGAUUGCCAGCUUCCGAGUUGAUUACCCCUGUAGAAGCUACAGAAACUCUUAUGAUGGCAGCAUGUAUGGCUGAGGGAAAGAUUUACACUUAGAUGUAGCUCAGGAACCAGAAAUGACUGAUCUUGCCAACUUCUUGAGAAAUGACACACUCGCUACUUAUGGAAGGAGAAAGUUGUAUGCUUCUGAGUAUAACUUUUGUGCACAGAGUAUGUACUAAGGCCCUAUAGUAGAUGAAUAAACUUUCGUUUUUACACUUGAACUAGUAGCUUGGUAUGGAAUUGGUCUAUAAAGGUAUAAAUCAACUUUCAAUUUUUUGCUUGA